rnacentral:rRNA from 1 species
CAGUCGCCACGGGAAUACGUAGGUGGCAAGCGUUAUCCGGAAUUAUUGGGCGUAAAGCGCGCGUAGGCGGUUUUUUAAGUCUGAUGUGAAAGCCCACGGCUCAACCGUGGAGGGUCAUUGGAAACUGGAAAACUUGAGUGCAGAAGAGGAAAGUGGAAUUCCAUGUGUAGCGGUGAGAUGCGCAGAGAUAUGGAGGAACACCAGUGGCGAAGGCGACUUUCUGGUCUGUAACUGACGCUGAUGUGCGAAAGCGUGGGGAUCAAACAGGAUUAGAUACCCCCGUAGUCCCUGUCUCUUAUAC